rnacentral:rRNA from 1 species
GACGAACGCUGGCUGCGUGCUUAACACAUGCAAGUCGAACGGAAAGGCCCUGCAUUUGUGGGGUGCUCGAGUGGCGAACGGGUGCGCAACACGUGAGUAACCUGCCCUCGACUUUGGGACAACUUCAGGAAACUGGGGCUAAUACCGGAUAGGAGCUUCUGCUGCAUGGAGGGGGUUGGAAAGUUUCGGCGGUUGGGGAUGGACUCGCGGCUUAUCAGCUUGUUGGUGGAGUAGUGGCUUACCAAGGCUUUGACGGGUAGCCGGCCUGAGAGGGUGACCGGCCACAGUGGGACAGAGAUACGGCCCGGAGUACUGCGGGAGACAGCAGUGGGGGAGAGUGCACGAUGGACGGAAGCCUGAUGCAGCAAGACCGCGUGCGGGAUGGCGACCUGCGGGUUGAAGACCACUUUCUCCUGUGACGGUGCGUGAUUGACGGUAAUUGAUGAAGAAGCACCGGCUAACUACGUG